UUCCUUGAUUCAGCUGCUUGGACUACAGCAUCCUAAUGCAAUCACACUGAGGUUUUCUCUGUCAGUACUAUCUUUCAAAACUAUCUUUUUGUCAGCAAACUGAAUGGUGUAAGCACAGAACAGAGUUCCAGCCAGCAAUCUGUCAUCAGUAGCAUCCUGCUCUUAAGCUGGGCUGAUGGUCCUGCGUUUCCCCCAGGAACGUGAAAUUCUGAUACACGAGUGCAGUUCAUUCCGUGAAACCAUUUUUUAAAUUGUUUGCUGUUAGAAAAUGUUGGAGCAGAACACAAGGCUUUCUUUGCAGGUCGCUAUCAAGAGAACUAAGGAAGGAUGUAGAUGUGGUAUUGAUGUCUUUCUUCAGGCUGUGUCUGAGGUAAGGAAAAUACUCUUUCCCUAUCUCUGCAGUUAGAAUAUGAAGCAGAAGCAGCAUUUCUUUCAUGUGUAGUUGCUUAAUUUAUCCUGUUGUUCUUUAUUUUCCUUGUUGAUAUAAUAGGAAUAUUUGUCACUGAAUGGUUUAUUGUCUUUGCUUACAACUCUGUAUUAUUUCAUCAAUACCAACUAUAUGUAUGUCUGUUUGUUUUUUUUUUUUAUUAGCUGGUGUACCCUAGAUUAAUGAUGUAUCAUUGUACCAAAUUGCUUUGGUUUUCUCCUCUAAUAUUACCCCAUUAAGUCUGUAAAUGAGUGGGUUUCUUUUCCUGGGCAGGCAAUUGUUACACAAACUUUACUAAACUGAGUUAGAAAUGAUUUCCACCGUGAAUCACUUUCCUUGUAAGCUGAUGACUUUUAUGGUAAUGUUUAACUUAAGCAGAUUUGUUUUCAAAUGUGCAAUGCACUAUUCUUUUUUUAACAGUACUUAAUAAAAAAAUUAGAUAAACAACAUGAUAGGAAUCAAUACUUAUUUCCUUGUCUACUAAAUGCUGCCUGUUAUGGGAGGUUAAUCACUCUACAAUGUUAAAUUGCUAUUAUAAUCAGUUCAGCUGAAAGGUGUCACUGCAACACUGGCC
rnacentral:lncRNA from 1 species